rnacentral:RNase_P_RNA from 1 species
GAAGCAGGAGGAUCAGUCGCGCUUUAAACCGACCGUUUAGAGUGAGGAAAGUCCGAGCUCCACAGAAUCAAGGCGCCCGGUAACACCGGGGCGGAGAGAUCCGACGGAAAGUGCCGCAGAAACGAUACCGCCCGCCAUCGGCGGGUAAGGGUGAAAACGUGGUGUAAGAGACCACGGCUGCGCCCAGCAAUGGGCGUGGUGGGUAAACCCCGCCUGGAGCAAGGCCAAAUAGGGGAACAGGGGUUGAUUCGCCCCGCUAUGAUUCCCGGGUGGGCCGCAUGGAGCGGUCGGGUAACCGGCUGCCCAGAUAAAUGACUGGUAGCCCCGGCACGUUGUUGUGUCGUGGUGAACAGAACUCGGCUUACUAUCCUGCUUUCCAC